UACGAAGGGGGCUAGCGUUGCUCGGAAUCACUGGGCGUAAAGCGCACGUAGGCGGCUUUCUAAGUCAGGGGUGAAAUCCUGGAGCUCAACUCCAGAACUGCCUUUGAUACUGGAAAGCUUGAGUUCGGGAGAGGUGAGUGGAACUGCGAGUGUAGAGGUGAAAUUCGUAGAUAUUCGCAAGAACACCAGUGGCGAAGGCGGCUCACUGGCCCGGUUCUGACGCUGAGGCGCGAAAGCGUGGGGAGCAAACAGG
rnacentral:rRNA from 1 species